ACGGAAGGCAGCAGUGGGGAAUAUUGCACAAGGGGGGAAACCCUGAUGCAGCGAUGCCGCGUGGAGGAAGAAGGUUUUCGGAUUGUAAACUCCUGUCUUAAAGGACGAUAAUGACGGUACUUUAGGAGGAAGCUCCGGCUAACUACGUGCCAGCAGCCGCGGUAAUACGUAGGGAGCGAGCGUUGUCCGGAAUUACUGGGUGUAAAGGGAGCGUAGGCGGGAUUGCAAGUCAGAUGUGAAAACUAUGGGCUUAACCCAUAGACUGCAUUUGAAACUGUAGUUCUUGAGUGAAGUAGAGGUAAGCGGAAUUCCUGGUGUAGCGGUGAAAUGCGUAGAUAUUAGGAGGAACACCAGUGGCGAAGGCGGCUUACUGGACUGUAGCUGACAUUGAGGCUCGAAAGCGUGGGGAGCAAACAGGAUUAGAUACCCUGGUA
rnacentral:rRNA from 1 species